UGGAUCCAGACUUUGAUUAUGGCUCAGGAUGAACGCUAGCUACAGGCUUAACACAUGCAAGUCGAGGGGAAACGACAUCGAAAGCUUGCUUUUGAUGGGCGUCGACCGGCGCACGGGUGAGUAACGCGUAUCCAACCUGCCCACCACUUGGGGAUAACCUUGCGAAAGUAAGACUAAUACCCAAUGACGUCUCUAGAAGACAUCUGAAAGAGAUUAAAGAUUUAUCGGUGAUGGAUGGGGAUGCGUCUGAUUAGCUUGUUGGCGGGGUAACGGCCCACCAAGGCUACGAUCAGUAGGGGUUCUGAGAGGAAGAUCCCCCACAUUGGAACUGAGACACGGUCCAAGCUCCUACGGGAGGCAGCAGUGAGGAAUAUUGGUCAAUGGGCGAGAGCCUGAACCAGCCAAGUAGCGUGCAGGAUGACGGCCCUAUGGGUUGUAAACUGCUUUUAUAAGGGAAUAAAGUGAGCCUCGUGAGGCUUUUUGCAUGUACCUUAUGAAUAAGGACCGGCUAAUUCCGUGCCAGCAGCCGCGGUAAUACGGAAGGUCCGGGCGUUAUCCGGAUUUAU
rnacentral:rRNA from 1 species